rnacentral:lncRNA from 12 species
GUUUAAAGAUACAGAUGUGCUCUUUCGUUGGACACUGAGGUGGUCUAUUCUUUUUCAUGAAUCAUCUUACAUUUAGCUUUUUUCUUUCCUAGGUGGUUUUGUAAAGGAUGGAUUCUCAGAACUGGAGGAUUCAAACGAAAUGGGAAUUCUUGGGACUGGAUCUGCCUGAAGCCUGGGGAGGGGAUAGUGACUGCUGACAACAAAUGGUGUAUGUGGAGGGCGUGGUCAUUCUCGGAAUGUGGCCUGGAGGACAGGCCCAGGUCCCAUGCUCUCUCCACGUCCUGCCUGAUUCAACAGGAGAUAGUGGCCAGGCUUGCAGAGGAUUUCAAGCUCAACAAAAACAUCUGGCUGCUGACCCCUCCCCUUCUGCCCUCCACUCCUUUAUACCUUGAGCAGAGCUCCUGGACCAGUGCAACUAUGCCCCAUGGAUCAGCUGUGGAGCAAGAACGAGCUAACCUGGAUCCCCUCGCCUACCUCUUCUACAGCCAGAGAACGAGUUGCUAGAAGGUCACUGUGAAAGACAGGAAAUGAGACAGCCCAACCAUCUUUGAGCUUGAUGCAUACAUGGCAUUAGAACAUAUACAAAGGGCAGCCCAGGUGGCUCAGCGGUUUAGCGCAGCCUGCAGCCCGGGGUGUGAUCCUGGGGACCUGGGAUCGAGUCCCACGUCCGGCUCCCUGCGUGGAGCCUGCUUCUCCCUCUGCCUGUGUCUCUGCCCCCCGCCCCUUUCUCUGUGUCUCUCAUGAAUGAAUGAAUAAAUAAAAUCUUUAAAAAAAAGGAACA